rnacentral:rRNA from 1 species
AACGAACGCUGGCGGCAUGCCUAACACAUGCAAGUCGAACGAGCCCUUCGGGUCUAGUGUCGUACGGGUGCGUAACGCGUGGGAACCUGCCCUUAGGUUUGGAAUAACUCCCCGAAAGGGGUGCUAAUACUGGAUAAUGUCUUCGGACCAAAGAUUUAUCGCCUUUGGAUGGUCCCGCGUUGGAUUAGCUAGUUGGUAGGGUAAAAGCCUACCAAGGCGCCGAUCCAUAGCUGGUCUGAGAGGAUGAUCAGCCACACUGGGACUGAGACACGGCCCAGACUCCUACGGAAGGCAGCAGAGGGGAAUAUUGGACAAUGGGCGAAAGCCUGAUCCAGCAAGGCCGCGUGAGUGAUGAAGGCCUGAGGGUUGUAAAGCUCUUUUACCCGGGAUGAUAAUGACAGUACCGGGAGAAUAAGCUCCGGCUAACUCCGUG